rnacentral:lncRNA from 1 species
UGAAAAUAUCAAAGAAAUUAAUUAAAGAAAACAACCAUCCAAUAGUACUUGAAUGAUAAUUAACAUGUCCUUCACUCACCUUGUUGAUUUCCUGGCUAAGAUAAAUGAAAUAUAUGUUGCACCAAAGAUUAUUAUUCAUCAAUAAACUACGGCACAAGUAACAACAACAACAAUAAUAACAGUUCCAAUAAUAGUGCAAUAAUCCCAGAAAGAGAUACAAGCUAAGCUAAUUAAUAAUAUUGUAACAUAAAUCCUUAAUUAAAUCAGCGAAUCCUGAAAGUAAAUAAUAAUAUCUGGUGUAAUUAAAACGAUAACAACAAAUUAAACAUGGAAUAUAGGAACGAACUUGUUAUAUAAAGCACAAAAAAUGGAUCGGACCGAGAAGCUUGAUUCCCCGAGAAGUUGAUAGAUAUGCUUAAUAAUAAUUGGAUCUUGUUAUAGAAAGAGCACAGCAAGAUCCUGGAAAGUAUGUAGUAGUAGCUAGGGUUUUCUCAAAAAACCAAGGAAAGGAGUAGGAACGAGAAGUACUCCUCCUUCUUUGGCUUCAUCAUCAUGUUGAAGAGGGAGAUGAUGAGAAAAGGGUGAUGAUUGUGGGGGUGGUGGUGGUGAUGAUGAUGUUUUCUGAUAAAGGAAAGUGGAGGAGUGAGGGGGUAAUGAUGAAGAGAGAAGAAGAGAGGCUGAGGAGGCCAUGAUGAUUAUGUGUAUUGGUGAAUAGCGUUGAAAGGUUUAACAAAAAUCCAACCUACUUCGUGCCCAUCAUCAUCAUCCCCACCUCCCUCUCUUUCUCUCUCACCCACC